UCUAGGAGGGAGCGCGCCGCACGCGUGAGUAAACAGCCGGAGCCGGGGAAAGUCGAGCUCUGGCAGCGUCCGGGUGCCGAGGGGCAGAGGCGGAGAGGACCCUGUCCUGAUCUUCCUAGGGUGGCCGACAUGACGGCCAGGGGUCAGAGCCCCCUCGCGCCGCUGUUGGAGACUUUGGAAGACCCUUCUGCCUCCCAUGGAGGGCAGACUGACGCUUACCUGACUUUGACCAGUCGUAUGACUGGAGAAGAAGGAAAAGAAGUAAUUACAGAAAUUGAGAAAAAACUUCCUCGGCUGUACAAAGUUUUAAAGACUCACAUUUCCAGUCAAAACUCGGAGCUGAGUAGUGCUGCUCUACAAGCCCUGGGGUUUUGCUUAUACAAUUCCAAAAUUACCUCAGAAUUAUCAGAGGCAAAUGCUCUAGAAUUGCUUUCAAAAUUGAAUGAUACCAUUAAGAGUUCAGACAAAAAUGUACGUACCAGAGCACUUUGGGUGAUAUCUAAGCAGACAUUUCCCUCUGAAGUGGUUGGCAAAAUGGUAUCCAGUAUAAUUGAUUCAUUAGAAGUGCUAUUUAACAAAGGAGAGACGCAUUCUGCUGUUGUUGAUUUUGAAGCAUUAAAUGUUAUCAUAAGGCUAAUUGAACAAGCCCCAAUUCAAAUGGGAGAAGAGGCAGUGAGGUGGGCAAAACUGGUCAUACCUUUAGUGGUUCAUUCAGCACAAAAGGUACAUUUGCGGGGAGCAACUGCUCUGGAGAUGGGAAUGCCAUUAUUGCUUCAGAAACAGCAAGAAAUAGCAUCUAUUACGGAGCAGCUUAUGACUACUAAAUUAAUCUCUGAACUUCAGAAGCUAUUUAUGAGUAAAAAUGAGACUUACGUGUUAAAAUUAUGGCCUUUGUUUGUCAAACUACUUGGAAGGACCUUGCAUCGAAGUGGGAGUUUCAUCAAUUCUCUGUUACAACUAGAAGAACUUGGAUUUCGUAGUGGAGCACCCAUGAUUAAAAAGAUAGCUUUUAUUGCUUGGAAGAGUUUAAUAGAUAAUUUUGCUUUAAAUCCAGAUAUUCUGUGUAGUGCAAAAAGACUCAAGUUGUUAAUGCAGCCUUUGAGUUCCAUCCAUGUGAGGACAGAAACUCUAGCAUUAACAAAACUAGAAGUCUGGUGGUAUUUACUGAUGAGACUUGGACCUCAUCUUCCUGCUAAUUUUGAACAGGUUUGUGUGCCUCUGAUUCAAAGUACAAUAAGCAUUGAUUCUAAUGCCUCACCUCAAGGCAAUUCGUGUCAUGUGGCUACAUCUCCAGGUUUAAAUCCUAUGACUCCUGUACACAAAGGUGCUUCCUCCCCGUAUGGAGCCCCGGGAACUCCCCGAAUGAACCUGAGUUCGAAUUUAGGUGGAAUGGCCACAAUCCCUUCCAUUCAACUUUUGGGACUUGAAAUGUUGCUUCAUUUCUUGUUGGGUCCAGAAGUCUUGAGUUUUGCUAAGCAAAAUAAACUUGUGCUGAGCUUAGAGCCACUGGAAUAUCCGUUAAUCAGCAGCCCUUCUUUUUUUUCCAAACAUGCAAAUACAGUUAUCACUGCUGUUCAUGAUAGCUUUGUUGCAGUUGGAAAAGAUGCCCCCGAUGUGGUUGUCAGUGCCAUCUGGAAGGAGCUAAUUAGCUUGGUGAAGUCAGUUACUGAAUCAGGUAACAAAAAAGAGAAACCAGGUUCUGAAGUUUUGACUCUCUUAUUAAAGUUUUUGGAAAGCAUAGUAAAGUCUGAAGUAUUUCCUGUAUCAAAAACGCUGGUCCUCAUGGAAAUUACAAUUAAAGGACUUCCUCAGAAAGUAUUAGGUUCACCAGCAUAUCAGGUUGCUAAUAUGGAUAUUCUUAAUGGAACUCCAGCUUUGUUCUUAAUUCAAUUAAUUUUCAACAAUUUCUUGGAAUGUGGUGUAUCAGAUGAAAGGUUCUUUCUCAGUUUGGAAUCACUUGUAGGCUGUGUUCUUUCUGGUCCAACUUCACCACUAGCUUUCAGUGACUCAGUUUUAAAUGUUAUUAAUCAAAAUGCAAAGCAGUUGGAAAAUAAGGAGCAUCUCUGGAAAAUGUGGAGUGUUAUAGUCACCCCAUUAACUGAAUUGAUUAAUCAGACCAAUGAAGUAAAUCAAGGUGAUGCCUUAGAACAUAAUUUUAGUGCCAUCUAUGGUGCAUUGACUUUACCAGUAAACCACAUUUUUUCAGAACAGAGAUUUCCAGUGACCACCAUGAAGACUUUGCUUAGAACUUGGUCAGAAUUAUAUAGAGCAUUUGCUCGUUGUGCUGCUUUGGUGGCAACAGCAGAAGAGAACUUGUGCUGUGAGGAACUUUCUUCUAAGAUAAUGUCCAGUUUGGAAGAUGAAGGCUUUUCUAAUUUGUUGUUCGUGGAUAGAAUUAUUCAUAUUAUUACUGUAAUGGUUGAUUGCAUUGACUUCUCACCAUAUAAUAUUAAAUAUCAGCCCAAAGUUAAAUCACCACAGAGACCUUCAGAUUGGUCCAAAAAGAAGAAUGAGCCCCUAGGGAAAUUGACUUCUUUAUUUAAACUUAUUGUGAAAGUGAUCUAUUCUUUCCACACUCUGAGCUUCAAGGAAGCACAUUCCGAUACCCUCUUCACUAUUGGCAACUCAAUCACCAGCAUUAUUUCCAGUGUACUUGGACAUAUUUCUUUGCCUUCUAUGAUCCGAAAAAUAUUUGCAACUUUAACAAGACCUCUGGCAUUAUUUUAUGAAAACUCAAAGCUUGAUGAAGUUCCUAAAGUAUAUAGUUGUCUGAACAACAAGUUAGAAAAGCUACUGGGAGAAAUUAUUGCUUGUCUGCAAUUCAGCUACACCGGAACUUAUGACAGUGAACUUCUUGAACAACUGUCCCCACUAUUAUGCAUAGUAUUUCUGCACAAGAAUAAACAGAUUCGAAAACAGAGUGCUCAGUUCUGGAAUGCCACUUUUGCUAAAGUGACGAUGUUGGUUUAUCCUGAAGAGUUAAAACCAGUACUAACACAAGCCAAACAAAAAUUUCUUCUCCUGUUGCCUGGUGUGGAAACUGUUGAAAUGAUGGAGGAAUCCAGUGGACCAUAUUCUGAUGGAACAGAAAAUUCACAACUAAAUGUGAAGAUAAGUGGCAUGGAGAGAAAAUCAAAUGGAAAAAGAGAUUCAUUUUUGGCACAAACAAAGAAUAAAAAAGAAAAUAUGAAACCAGCAGCCAAACUGAAACUUGAAUCUUCAUCUUUAAAAGUAAAGAGUGAAAUUCUUUUGGAAGAGGAAAAAUCUACUGACUUUGUGUUUAUACCUCCAGAAGGAAAAGAUGCAAAGGAAAGAAUAUUAACUGAUCAUCAAAAAGAAGUUCUCAAAACAAAGCGGUGUGAUAUUCCUGCCAUGUAUAAUAAUCUGGAUGUUUCCCAAGAUACCUUAUUUACUCAGGAUAGUCAGGAAGAGCCUAUGGAAAUUCCUACUUUAACCAGAAAACCAAAGGAGGAUUCUAAGAUGAUGAUUACGGAGGAGCAAAUGGACAGUGACAUUGUCAUUCCUCAAGAUGUCACGGAAGACUGUGGUAUGGAUGAACAUCUUGAAAAGGCCUCACUUUCAAAUAAUGAGUGUGGUUCUCUUGAUAAAACCAGUCCAGAAAUGUCGAACAGUAAUAAUGAUGACAGAAAAAAAGCUUUAAUUUCAUCAAAGAAAACAUCAAUUGAAUGUGCAUCUAGUACAGAAAAUUCUUGCGUUGUCAGCAGUAGUUCAGUUUCUAAUACCACUGUUGCUGGAACUCCCCCAUACCCUACAAGUCGGAGGCAAACCUUUAUUACUUUGGAGAAGUUUGAUGGUUCAGAAAACAGACCUUUUAGUCCAUCCCCCUUGAAUAAUAUUUCAUCAACUGUUACAGUGAAAAACAACCAGGAAACCAUGAUUAAGACAGAUUUUCUACCAAAAGCAAAGCAAAGAGAAGGGACUUUUUCAAAAUCUGAUUCUGAAAAAAUAGUGAAUGGAACUAAGAGAUCAAGCCGGAGAGCUGGUAAAGCUGAACAAACAGGGAAUAAAAGGUCUAAGCCCUUAAUGAGAUCUGAGCCGGAGAAAAAUACUGAGGAAUCUAUUGAAGGCAUUGUAGUCUUAGAAAAUAACCCACCUGGUUUGCUUAAUCAAACAGAAUGUGUGUCAGAUAAUCAGGUUCAUCUUUCUGAAUCUGCAGUGGAGCAUGACAAUACAAAGCUUAAAGCAACAACAAUGGAAAAUGCUGUAUUAUUGGAAACUAAUACUGUAGAGGAGAAAAAUGUAGAAAUUAAUUUGGAAUCCAAAGAAAAUACACCGCCAGUAGUAAUAUCAGCAGAUCAAAUGGUAAAUGAGGAUAGUCAGGUUCAGAUAACUCCAAAUCAGAAAACCCUUAGACGGUCUUCAAGGCGACGUUCAGAAGUAGUAGAGUCUACCACUGAAAGCCAAGAUAAGGAAAAUAAUCAUCAAAAAAAGGAACGACGUAAGGAAGAAGAAAAACCUCUUCAGAAGAGUCCAUUGCAUAUAAAAGAUGAUGUGUUACCUAAACAAAAACUGAUUUCUGAACAGACUCUACAGGAGAGUUUAAUUGAGAAAGGAAGUAAUUUACAUGAGAAGACUCUUGGGGAAACUAGUGCUAAUGCAGAAACUGAACAAAAUAAAAAAAAGGCAGACCCUGAGAACAUUAAGUCUGAGGGGGAUGGUACCCAGGACAUUGUAGAUAAGUCCUCUGAGAAACUAGUCAGAGGCCGAACACGAUAUCAAACAAGAAGAGCAUCUCAGGGUUUGCUUUCCAGCAUUGAAAACUCAGAAUCUGAUAGUUCGGAGGCAAAAGAAGAAGGUUCUAGGAAGAAGAGAUCUGGAAAAUGGAGAAACAAAAGCAACGAAAGUGUUGACAUUCAAGAUCAAGAAGAGAAAGUGGUGAAACAGGAAUGUAUAAAAGCUGAAAAUCAGUCACAUGAUUGUAAAGUAAGUUCUGAAGAAGAUGGAAGCAUAAAACCUCAGAUUUGUGAAAAACAAGAUGAAAGUAGUACUGUAAUAUGUCAGGAUUCUACAGUAACUUCAGAUUUGUUGCAAGUUCCUGAUGAUUUACCAAAUGCAUGUGAGGAAAAAAAUGAAACUAGCAAAUAUGCAGAAUAUUCCUUUACAAGUCUACCUGUGCCAGAAUCAAAUCUAAGGACUAGAAAUGCCAUUAAGAGAUUACAUAAGCGAGACUCUUUUGAUAAUUGUAGUUUGGGAGAAUCUUCAAAAAUAGGGAUGUCAGAUAUUUCUUCACUUUCAGAAAAAACUUUUCAAACACUUGAAUGCCAACACAAGAGAAGUAGGAGGGUGAGGAGAUCUAAAGGUUGUGAUUGCUGUGGGGAAAAAUCACAACCUCAGGAAAAGUCACUCGUCGGGAUAAAGAAUACAGAAAAUGAUGUAGAGAUUAGUGAAACAAAAAAGGCAGAUGUACAAGCACCUGUAAGCACAUCAGAAACUUCUCAAGCUAAUCCAUGUUCUGAAGGACAAUUUUUAGAUGAACAUCAUAGUGUGAAUUUUCAUUUGGGUCUCAAAGAGGAUAAUGAUACCAUUAAUGAUUCAUUAAUUAUUUCUGAAACCAAAUCAAAAGAAAACACUAUGCAAGAAUCUCUUCCUUCUGGAAUAGUAAACUUUAGAGAGGAAACUUGUGAUAUGGAUUCUAGUGAAGCAAUGUCUCUUGAAAGCCAAGAGUCACCUAAAGAAAAUUUUAAAACUGUUGGCCCAUGUUUAGGAGACUCGAAAAAUGUUUCACGGGAAUCUUUGGAGACAAAAGAAGAAAAACCAGAAGAAACCCCAAAAAUGGAACUGAGUCUAGAGAAUGUUACUGUUGAAGGAAAUGCAUGUAAAGUAACAGAAUCCAAUCCAGAGAAAGUAAAAACUAUGGAAUUGGAUGUAGGAAAUGAAGCUAGCUUCUAUGAACAAGAGAGAACCAAAAGUGGUAUUUCUGAAGAAGCAGCAAUGGAAAAUAAAAGAAAUGAUGACUCUAAAGCAGACACAGCUAAACUGAAUGCCAAAGAAGUAACAACUGAGGAAUUUAAUUCAGAUAUUAGUCUUUCUGAUAAUACUACACCUGUAAAAUUGAGUGCUCAAACUGAGAUUUCUGAACAAACAGCAACUGGGGAACUAGAUGGAGGAAAUGAUGUAUCUGAUCCAUACUCAUCUGAAGAAACGAAUACUGAAAUGAAAAAUUAUGAAGAAAUGAUGAUUGGCGAGGUGAAGGCUGAAACUGGCCAUGAUGGUGAAACAGAGAAUGAGGGCAUAACUACCAAAACCUCAAAGCCUGAUGAAGCUGAAACAAAAAUGUUGACUGCAGAAAUGGACAACUUUCUUUGUGACACAGUUGAAAUGAGCAUUGAAGAAGGAAUCAUUGACGCUAAUAAAACUGAAACAAAUACUGAGUGUAGUAAAUCUGAAGAAAAAUUAGAUAACAAUCAAAUGGUAAUGGAAAGUGAUAUUUUACAGGAAGAUCACCAUACUUCAGAGAAAGUGGAGGAACCAUCACAGUCUCUGACAUCUGGAACAGCUAUCUCUGAACUAAUAAUAGGAGACAAUAAUGCAUCUCCUCAAAAACAAAGGGAACUUGAUCCUUCACUUGUGUCAGCAAAUGACAGUCCUAGUGGCAUGCAGACACGCUGUGUCUGGUCUCCUUUGGCUUCUCCAUCUACGAGCAUUUUAAAGAGAGGACUAAAAAGAUCCCAAGAAGAUGAAAUCUCAUCACCUGUUAAUAAGGUUCGCCGUGUCUCCUUUGCAGAUCCAAUAUACCAAGCAGGAUUGGCAGAUGACAUUGAUAGACGGUGCUCUAUUGUUAGGUCCCAUUCUUCAAAUAGUUCUCCCAUAGGAAAAAGUGUUAAAACUUCUCCUACUGCACAAUCUAAGCAUAAUACCACUUCAGCCAAAGGAUUUCUGUCCCCAGGAUCACGUAGCCCUAAAUUUAAGAGCUCAAAGAAGUGUUUAAUUUCAGAAAUGGCCAGAGAAUCCAUACCAUGCCCAACAGAAAGUGUUUACCCAGCAUUGGUGAACUGUGUGGCACCAGUUGACAUCAUUUUACCUCAGAUUACAUCAAACAUGUGGGCGAGAGGCCUGGGACAACUCAUUAGAGCUAAGAAUAUAAAAACUAUUGGUGAUUUGAGUACUCUUACAGCAUCUGAAAUAAAAACUCUUCCUAUCCGUUCUCCAAAAGUGUCCAAUGUAAAAAAGGCUCUCAGAAUAUAUCAUGAGCAGCAGGUGAAGACUCGUGGACUAGAAGAGAUUCCAGUUUUUGAUAUUUCUGAAAAAACAGUAAAUGGAAUAGAAAAUAAAUCUCUGUCACCUGAUGAAGAAAGACUUGCCUCAGAUGUAAUUGAUCCUGUUGCUUUAGAAACUCCGUUAUCCAAAAACCUUGUGGCACAGAUUAGUGCUCUUGCUCUUCAGCUGGAUUCAGAAGAUCUUCAUAAUUAUUCAGGAAGCCAACUAUUUGAAAUGCACGAGAAACUAAGUAGUAUGGCAAACUCUGUAAUAAAAAAUCUACAGUCACGUUGGAGAUCACCAUCCCAUGAAAAUUCUAUUUAGUAUUUUCAGAGAAAAUUGAAGGUUUUUUAAAACAUCACUGGAUUUCUUGAUUGAGGAAACAAGUUCUGAAAUAAUAGCACAAUUUCAAAGAAGAGACUCUUUGCAAAGUUAACAUUUCAAACCCUGAAGGACAGUGACUUAUUAUUUUCUUGAAGAUGGCUCUUUGCAGCCUACGUGGUAGUGGAGAUAUAUACAAAGGACUUCCCUAGUAUCGUUGGACCAACAAGCACAAGCAGAUGACAGGAAGAUUAGAACAUUGGAUAUUGAUUGCCAGUUUUUAAGGAGUGAAGGGUGUGGGGGUUGCUUUCCCCAGGUUCUCUUUGUAUAACACCUGUGAGAUACAAAGUCGUGCCCGAAAGUCACUACGAGUGUCAUUCUUGGAAACGUGGGAGAUUAGGAAAUGACAUUGAAGAGGAAGAAUUGUUGAAAUAGUGAUUCUCAACGUGGGGUCCUUGGACAGCAAGGUCAGUAAUGAGAACUUGUUAAAAAUGCAAAUUCUCUGGCCCCCUCUAUAACAGACCUACAGUAUGAGAAACUAGAGCAGGACCCAGCAAUCUGGCUUCACAAACCCUGCACGUUAUUCUGAUGCGUGCUAAUGUUUUAGAAGCACUGCACUCAAGUACUGGAGAAACCUACAGACAGUGGAAAUGUGGACACUACAAGGUUGUUUGCUACUGAAACUGAAGUCCCCAUGCAAACCUCAAUCCCUGGGUAAUUUACAACCAUAUAUAAUGUCAUAGCGCACAAGCUUACAGGAAAUGGUUUACUAAAGUUUGCAGUUAAAGACUACAGUAAAACUAAAGAACAACAACGACAAAAAACGAAAAUUGGUAAAACAAAAAGCCAUUCUGGUGACACUUUCAUUUUUAAGUAAAUUGAUAAUCAAAUUGCCAGAACUACUAUUGGAUCAUAAUUGAUAUCGUUAUUCUUGAAGGAGGGGAUCAGGGAUUAUUUUUCCCAAGGUCUCUUUGUCCAAAUCUGACAGGGUAAAUUAGAACCUAAAGUCAUUGACACAAAAGCACAACAAAAUCAUAUUCAAGAAAGAGCCCCAUUGGACCUACUCUACCACCCCACACAUACCCGUCCUAAAUUUCAGGCAUAUCUAAAACAAAGAGACCUUGGGGGUAGUGGAUAGAGAGUAAGUUUGGAGAGAGAGAAGCAAAAGGAUGUUUUAUAGGAAAAUCUGUUACUUCUUGAUAUUAGAACUUUAUGGAUUAAAGCAACUUUGUUAUUAUGGGGUUAGGCUAGAAGUAGCCCAAAGGAAAAAAGGGUAAAUUUGCUAAAGAAAUUCACAAAAUUUGUCUUUAAAAAGUAGGAUUAAUAUGUAUUAUUUUAAAUCAUAAAAGUAGUUUUUAAAAUCAGUAAGUAGUUUUUUUCUUUUCUUGCCAAGUACCGAGCUAAUAUUUUCUUGAUUGUGUUUGACUCUCUCCAUCUCGGGAGUGACAGGUAAAGGGGUUCCCUUGCCCAUGUUUUCUUUGUAUAACACCUGUGCGAUGAGAAAGCAUCCAGAAAAACAACCAUGAGUAACAUUUCAUUUGUUGAGAGGUUUUAAGGGUAAGGUCAACUUCCUUGUUAAGAAAACACAGUCGUCCAAGGAGCCAGAAGUUAUAUGCUGACAAAAUGCCACCAACUACUUUAGUGGAAGCUGUUGUUGGGAUGGGGAAUCUGCACCUUCUAGAGAAGCAGGGACCUCAGCUGCUGGGGAAAGGCUGUCAGUUAUCCAUGUUAUUUUUUUUCAUUUUUGUGAGUAUGGUGCCUCCUGAACAAUCACAUGAGGAUUUAAGACUGUUAGAACUCAGUGUUGUUAUCCACACAAACGGAAAAACUCAUUUUUAAAAAAUGAUUGAAAAUAUCAGAUAAAAAAUCGAAAUUAACUGUAUUAUGGAAAUGGUGUUAGGCUAGAAGUAGCCCAAAGGAAAAAAGGAUAAGUUUGCUAAAGAAAGAAAUUCACAAAAUUUAAGUUGUCUUUAGAAAAUAGGAUUAAUAUGUAUUAUUUUAAAUCAUGAAAUAGUUUUUAAAAUCAGUAAGUAGUUUUUUUCUUUUCUUGCCCAAGUACCGAGCUAAUAUUUUCUUGAUUGUGUUUGACUCUCUCCAUCUCGGGAGUGACAGGUAGAGGGGUUCCCUUGCCCAUGUUUUCUUUGUAUAACACCUGCGUGAUGAGAAAGCAUCCAGAAAAACAACUAUGAGUAACAUUUCAUUUGUUGAGAGGUUUUAAGGGUAAGGUCAACUUCCUUGUUAAGAAAACACAGUCGUCCAAGGAGCCAGAAGUUAUAUGCUGACAAAAUGCCACCGACUACUUUAGUGGAAGCUGUUGUUGGGAUGGGGAAUCUGCACCCUCUAGAGAAGCAGGGACCUCAGCUGCUGGGGAAAGGCUGUCAGAGUUAUCCAUGUUACUUUUUUUUUUUUUUUCUUUUUUGUGAGUACCAUGCCUCCUAAACAAUUACAUGAGGAUUUGAGACAGAACUCAGUGUUGUUAUCCACACAAACGGAAAAACUCAUUAUUUUAAAGAUUGAAAAUUGAAAAUACCAGAUGAAAUAAAAAAUUGAAAUUAACUGUAUUAUAGAAAUGGGAAUGGUGUUAGGCUAGAAGUAGCCCAAAGGAAAAAAAGAUAAAUUUGCUAAAGAAAUUCACAAAAUUUGUCUUUAAAAAGUAGGAUUAAUACGUAUUAUUUUAAAUCAUGAAAGUUUCCAAAAAUCAUUAAAUAAGUAGUUUUUUUCUUUUCUUGCCAAAGUACCGAGCUAAUAUUUUCUUGAUUGUGUUUGACUCUUUCCAUCUCAGGAGUGACAGGUAAAGGGGUUCCCUUGCCCAUGUUUUCUUUGUAUAACACCUGUACAAUAAGAAAGCAUCCAGAAAAACAACCAUGAGUAACAUUUCAUUUCUUGGGACGUUUUAAGGGUGAGGAAAAAACACAGUCAUCCAAGGAGCCAGAAGUUAUAUGCUGACAAAAUGCCAUCGACUACUUUAGUGGAAGCUGUUGUUGGGAUGGGGAAUCUGCACCCUCUAGAGAAGCAGGGACCUCAGCUGCUGAGGAAAGUCUGUCAGAGUUAUAUCCAUGUUAUUUUUUUUUUCAUUUUUGUGAGUACAGUGCCUCCUAAACAAUCACAUGAGGAUUUGAGACUGUUAGAACUCAGUGUUGUUAUCCACACAAAUGGAAACAUUCAUUAUUUUUAAAACAUGUUUGUAAAUAUCAGAUGAAGUAAAAAAAUGACAUUAACUGUAUUAUAGAAAUGGGAAGGUAUAUCCUUUUGUAAUAUAAGAUAUAUUAGAAGCAAAGGAAGGGAAAUGGGCUUAAAACAAAAAUAAAUGUAAAGAUCAGUUUAAUUCUGAAGUUGUGGCAUUUUUCCCCUUUCUUUCCAAAAUACCGAGCUAAGGUUUUCUUGAUUGUGUUUGACUCUCUGCAUCUCAGGAGUGAUGGGGAUUGGAAUUCCUGUCCCCAGGUUUUCUUUGUAUAGCACCUGUAUGAUGAGAAAGCAUCCAGAACAAAAAAAGCAAUCAGUCAUUUUCCCCCUGCUUUGGAGCAGUUGGGAGUGGGAAGGAAGGGAGGAAGAGAGUGAGUUAGAGGAAGGGAAAUGCCAGAAGCUUUUAGACUCAACCUCUUUGAACCUAAAGACAUCUUCAAAAGCAAAGGAAUGCAGGAAAGAGCAGCAAAAACUAAGAAAUGGGAAAAGAAAGGUUGUUAUUUUCAUUGUUUGAACUAAUCUCUGCAGCACUGAGCAACCAUGAAAGAGAGCAAUUAGUCUUUCCCACCUUGUUACAAGGAGGGAAAAAAGUAGAAACAGACAAGAGACAGAAAUAAAACCAAGGAAGUUACUUUUGAUUUGAAAAUGCUAUUAAUCACAUAAGGAUAUUUGGGGUUUACAAACAUUGUAUACAUGGAGACACAUACACACAACUCUUCUUUUGUUCACUUUCAAAAGAAGUCAAAGUAUUUAAUUUUUAGUUUGGGUGAACAUAUUGAGAACAACGAUGUUUAAGGCAAAUGGAGAGCAAUGAUAAGGUGCUAAAAAAAAAGAAACUUCAAAAUAUCUGUACAAAUAACAGUAGAGAUAGAAAAAGUUAGAAUAAGAAAUGAGGCUAAUAGUCAGGUCUUUGCAAAAUACAUUUGUUUAAGCUUUAGAUUCGGAUCAAGUUUGCCAAAGCAGUAUAAAUGUGGAUGCUUAGACACUGAGAAUGUUACAUUUGUAAAAGCAGGAAUAUAAUACUGAACACUUUUUUUAUUAAGUUAAAUGGUUAUAUUAAUGUUUUACCAAAAUGGGGAAAACUGAUUCAUAGGAAAUGGCAGCAUUAAGUUGGGAAAAAGACAGGUCAAAUUUUUUAUUGGGAUGAGUUGAUUAGAUUUUAAAAAUCUAGCCAUUAAUCUUUUUAAAAAUUUUUUUAAAUAGUUAAAGGGAUUUUUUAUUUUUAAAUACCGAACUAAAGUUUUCUUGAUUGUGUUUGACUCUCUCCAUCUCUGGAGUGAUGGGGAUUGGAAUCCCUUUUCCAACGUUUUCUUUAUACAACACCUGUAUGACACAAGAAAGCAUCCAGAAAAAACAAGAGCAGUCAAAACAGCCCUUUCAUCUACCUUGUGGGGAACCUGGUAUACAACUACAGACAUCAGACAGAAAAGACAAAUUGAACAAGUCAACCUCUCUGUUCAGGCACAGAUCUGGUUUUAAUGAUGAACUCUACAAAGCUAAUUCUGGAAAUGAAAAAGUACAAUGGAAAGCAUUAAGUUAUAUAACGCUGAGGAAUCUUGUUAAUUCUACUUACAGUAUUUCAAAUCUAGUCAAGUCACUGAAAAUGUUAAAGUAUAAUCGGAAAUGUGUCUUUCCGAUAGCCGUUCCUGGUGAGACAUCCUCUUUAUAUAAAACCUGGGCAUUCAGAAUCAGGACAGUGUUACACAGAAGAAAGGAAAACCCAGCAGUUCUGGAGAAAGACUAGGACACAUGACUUCUGUGAAAACAACACACUAGACGAUGUUCCCAGGCAAGUGCCAGAGCACCACACCUGACAUUUCCAUGUCAGUAUCACCGACUCAGACCAAUUAUACAACAUGGAUCACUUUCCAGAUCUUAAGAUUUCUUCUAAGAUUGUGGUACCGUACUAACACAGGAUGAGAACAGCCAGGAAAUGUUGAUUAACAACAAAACCCUCCCAUACGUAACACAAAAUCCAUUAAAGAAAUGCAAAGUCAGUCAGUUCUCUGGGGGAGGGAUAACAAAAGAAAUCACAAUGCCAAAAAGAAAUCCAUCUUCUUGGAGCAAGACAACACAUGUUACUGCUCUGGGAUUAAAAAAUUUAAAAAUAAAAGUUACGUUGUUAGCAGUUUUAAAGUUAUUUCAAAUGGUCUCUGGAGAGAUGAUUUUGGAGCAAAGUAUGGGGAAUUUUAGCAAAUCACUGCUAGUAUUACUGAGGAGGUUAGAUGUUAAUUGUCUGUAUCAAUAUAAGGCUAGUAUAUUUUUAAAGAGGAGAGUGAAAUGACUAGGUUAGCAUUAAAUGCAAAAUAAAUAGUAAAUAUACCGAGCUGAAAUUCUUUUGAUUUUCUUUUACACGCAGUAUUUCUGGCGUGUCUUGAACAACUGUAAUUUUUCCUUUACUGUUUUUAAGGUCACACUGGUAUUGGAGCUAUGAAGAAAGAGUAAACAUCUUGUUAAGAUUUCAA